GAUUCCACUCUACGAGGAGCCCAUCCACACCAGAACCCUAAUCAACGACUCUCUAGCUCUCCGAACCGCCGAAAAAAUCAAAGAAGAAGGCCGUCGGGAUAAUUUCUAUACAGGACCACUCGAUGAACUUUUCGUGAAACAGGAGGUCAAUUGGCCGCCGAAAACUCCGAUUUCCACUGAAAAAUCCGCUAUUGAGCGGUAUUUGGAAGAAAAUUCGGCGAAUUUGAAUAAUCCGCUGGGAGAAUAUUCGAAAUUCGCGGCCACCACCACAGACCCUUCCAGACAAAUUGAGAUUAUUAUUCCAAUGUCUUGUGAUGAGGAAAUCGGGUUUAAAACGCUUAAAAUCGAAGUUCUAACCACUGCGAGAAUCCGUGAAGUUAUUGGUUAUUGCCUACUUCAGUACUAUUUAACGUUCGACUCCUAUUUGCC
rnacentral:sRNA from 1 species